AUUGAACGCUGGCGGUAGGCCUAACACAUGCAAGUCGAACGGCAGCACAGUAAGAGCUUGCUCUUACGGGUGGCGAGUGGCGGACGGGUGAGGAAUACAUCGGAAUCUACUUUUUCGUGGGGGAUAACGUAGGGAAACUUACGCUAAUACCGCAUACGACCUACGGGUGAAAGCAGGGGCUCUUCGGACCUUGCGCGAUUGAAUGAGCCGAUGUCGGAUUAGCUAGUUGGCGGGGUAAAGGCCCACCAAGGCGACGAUCCGUAGCUGGUCUGAGAGGAUGAUCAGCCACACUGGAACUGAGACACGGUCCAGACUCCUACGGGAGGCAGCAGUGGGGAAUAUUGGACAAUGGGCGCAAGCCUGAUCCAGCCAUACCGCGUGGGUGAAGAAGGCCUUCGGGUUGUAAAGCCCUUUUGUUGGGAAAGAAAAGCAGCAGGUUAAUACCCCGCUGUUCUGACGGUACCCAAAGAAUAAGCACCGGCUAACUUCGUG
rnacentral:rRNA from 1 species